rnacentral:rRNA from 1 species
GACGAACGCUGGCGGCGUGCUUAACACAUGCAAGUCGAACGGAAAGGCCCUGCUUUUGUGGGGUGCUCGAGUGGCGAACGGGUGAGUAACACGUGAGUAACCUGCCCUUGACUUUGGGAUAACUUCAGGAAACUGGGACUAAUACCGGAUAGGAGCUCCUGCUGCAUGGUGGGGGUUGGAAAGUUUCGGCGGUUGGGGAUGGACUCGCGGCUUAUCAGCUUGUUGGUGGGGUAGUGGCUUACCAAGGCUUUGACGGGUAGCCGGCCUGAGAGGGUGACCGGCCACAUUGGGACUGAGAUACGGCCCAGACUCCUACGGGAGGCAGCAGUGGGGAAUAUUGCACAAUGGGCGGAAGCCUGAUGCAGCAACGCCGCGUGCGGGAUGACGGCCUUCGGGUUGUAAACCGCUUUCGCCUGUGACGAAGCGUGAGUGACGGUAAUGGGUAAAGAAGCACCGGCUAACUACGUGCCAGCAGCCGCGGUGAUACGUAGGGUGCGAGCGUUGUCCGGAUUUAUUGGGCGUAAAGGGCUCGUAGGUGGUUGAUCGCGUCGGAAGUGUAAUCUUGGGGCUUAACCCUGAGCGUGCUUUCGAUACGGGUUGACUUGAGGAAGGUAGGGGAGAAUGGAAUUCCUGGUGGAGCGGUGGAAUGCGCAGAUAUCAGGAGGAACACCAGUGGCGAAGGCGGUUCUCUGGGCCUUUCCUGACGCUGAGGAGCGAAAGCGUGGGGAGCGAACAGGCUUAGAUACCCUGGUAGUCCACGCUGUAAACGGUGGGUACUAGGUGUGGGGUCCAUUCCACGGGUUCCGUGCCGUAGCUAACGCUUUAAGUACCCCGCCUGGGGAGUACGGCCGCAAGGCUAAAACUCAAAGGAAUUGACGGGGCCCCGCACAAGCGGCGGAGCAUGCGGAUUAAUUCGAUGCAACGCGUAGAACCUUACCUGGGUUUGACAUGGAUCGGGAGUGCUCAGAGAUGGGUGUGCCUCUUUUGGGGUCGGUUCACAGGUGGUGCAUGCCUGUCGUCAGCUCGUGUCGUGAGAUGUUGGGUUAAGUCCCGCAACGAGCGCAACCCUUGUUCACUGUUGCCAGCACGUUAUGGUGGGGACUCAGUGGAGACCGCCGGGGUCAACUCGGAGGAAGGUGGGGAUGACGUCAAGUCCUCAUGCCCCUUAUGUCCAGGGCUUCACGCAUGCUACAAUGGCUGGUACAGAGAGUGGCGAGCCUGUGAGGGUGAGCGAAUCUCGGAAAGCCGGUCUCAGUUCGGAUUGGGGUCUGCAACUCGACCUCAUGAAGUCGGAGUCGCUAGUAAUCGCAGAUCAGCAACGCUGCGGUGAAUACGUUCCCGGG